AUUGAACGCUGGCGGAAUGCUUUACACAUGCAAGUCGAGCGGCAGCGCGGGGCAACCUGGCGGCGAGCGGCGAACGGGUGAGUAACAUAUCGGAACGUGCCCAUUGGUGGGGGAUAACACAUCGAAAGAUGUGCUAAUACCGCAUAAGACCUGAGGGUGAAAGGGGGGGAUCGCAAGACCUCUCGCCGUUGGAGCGGCCGAUAUCGGAUUAGCUAGUUGGUGGGGUAAAGGCUCACCAAGGCGACGAUCCGUAGCUGGUCUGAGAGGAUGUUCAGCAACCAUGGAACUGAGCGACAGUCCAGACUCCUACGGGAUCCAGCAGUGGGGAAUUUUUGACAAGGGGGGCAACCCUGAUCCAGCCAUUCCGCGUGAGUGAAGAAGGCCUUCGGGUUGUAAAGCUCUUGCGGCAGGAACGAAACGGUUUGGGCUAAUACCCUGAGCUAAUGACGGUACCUGAAGAAGAAGCACCGGCUAACUACGUGCCAGCAGCCGCGGUAA
rnacentral:rRNA from 1 species